rnacentral:misc_RNA from 1 species
UUGCCUUGCGUCGGAUCUUGGGGUCGCUUUCUUGGCUAAGCAACUUGGUCAGCAUCAGUGUUCUCGGGGUUUCGACAGCGUAUAGUGUGUUUGAAACGCUAAGUGCUUUUUUCCAGUUUUCUUCCCUUCUAAGCCGUUAACAAAAACACAAACACCAUGGACGCCAUCAAGAAGAAGAUGCAAGCGAUGAAGCUUGAGAAGGAUAAUGCCAUUGAUAAGGCCGAUACCUGCGAGAACCAAGCUAAGGAUGCCAACUCCCGCGCCGACAAACUGAACGAGGAGGUGCGCGAUCUGGAGAAGAAGUUCGUCCAGGUUGAGGUUGAUCUGGUCACCGCCAAGGAGCAGCUGGAGAAGGCUAACACCGAGCUGGAGGAGAAGGAGAAACUCCUUACCUCCACCGAAUCGGAGGUGGCCACCCUCAACCGUAAGGUUCAACAGAUUGAGGAGGAUCUGGAGAAGUCCGAGGAGCGCUCGACCACCGCCCAACAGAAGCUGCUGGAGGCCACCCAGUCGGCUGAUGAGAACAACCGUAUGUGCAAGGUGUUGGAGAACCGUUCCCAGCAGGAUGAGGAGCGCAUGGAUCAGCUCACCAACCAGCUGAAGGAGGCCCGCAUGCUCGCUGAGGAUGCUGAUACCAAGUCCGAUGAAGUCUCCCGCAAGCUGGCCUUCGUUGAAGACGAGCUGGAGGUUGCUGAGGAUCGUGUCCGUUCCGGCGAGUCCAAGAUCAUGGAGCUGGAGGAGGAGCUGAAGGUUGUCGGCAACUCUCUGAAGUCUCUGGAGGUGUCUGAGGAGAAGGCCAACCAGCGCGUGGAGGAGUUCAAGCGCGAGAUGAAGACCCUGUCCGCCAAGUUGAAGGAGGCCGAGCAGCGUGCCGAGCACGCCGAGAAGCAGGUCAAGCGCCUGCAGAAGGAGGUCGACAGGCUAGAGGACCGUCUCUUCCAUGAGAAGGAAAAAUACAAAGCAAUCUGCGACGAUUUGGACCAGACAUUUGCCGAACUUACUGGAUAUUAAUACAAAAAAAUCAAGAACAAAAAACCCAAAACCAAAAAAAUCCAAACAAUACUCACACAUACAUCCCCUUUCCGAAAGAAAAUACGAUUUUUUUCCCCCAACUAUAUAUAUUUUUUUUAUAUACAAUAUAUUAUUUUUCCGAUGCCAGUGUAUUUAUCCAGACCCGUACACUUCUGUCCACGACUCUUUCUUUAUACACUGUAAAUAAUUUGUUUAGUCUCGCUUGAAUGUGGCCACACCCACACACGCCCCAGUCUCCACCCAGUACACUGUAAAAAAUCAAGUUCAGUUCAAGCCAAAGCCAAAAAUAAGUUGCAACUGUAGUUAAUUGUGCUUUCAACACACAGACGAGCUGGGCAUCAACAAGGACAGGUACAAGUCCCUGGCCGACGAGAUGGACUCCACAUUCGCCGAAUUGGCUGGCUAUUAAAUGGCUAUUUAAAAAUAUGGCCUUUAAUCCCAGGAACAUCAUCAUCAGCAACAACAACAGCAGCAAAAACAACAACAAUGAAAAAAAGCGGAGGAAACAGAAGAAGACGACGACGAAGUACUCUACUAAUUUUAACGAUUAUCUCAGAAUGAUAUCAGAUACCAAGAACAACAUCCAUUGUGUAUAAAAAUUUCUUUAUAAAUCUAUAUACUUCAUAAUAAAUAAAUAACAACAACAACAAGAUCAACAACA